CCACUUCAUGAUGAAGAGGUGGUGUCCUACAUGCUUGCUGGUCUUGGAGAGUACUAUGAUCCACUCAUAACGUCCAUCACCACCAGAGUGGAGCUAAUCUCCCUCAUUGAGCUUUAUGCACAUAUGCCUAGUUUUAAGA